CUCAUUCAGCUCACACACUGUGUGUCUCUUUCUCUCCGUAUAGACGUCUGUUUCUCGCUCUUCCUCCCCCCUUGCUCUUCCUCUCUCCUCUCCUCUUUUUGUUGUUCCAGCUUUCAUAUUCUUCUUUAUCUGUGCCUAUGUUUGUUCUCUCUCUCUCUCUCUAUCUCUCUCUCUCUCUCUCUCUCUCUCUCUCUCUCUCGUUUCUCCAUGCCAGUUUUUAUCUCUCUGUCUCUCUCUGUCUGUCCUGUCUCCCUCUGUCUGCCUGUUUCUAGUGUCUUGUCUGUUUCUUUCUUUCUACCUCUCUCUCUCUCUAUCUCUCUCUCUCUCGGCCUGCCUAUCUCUCUCUCCAUCUCUGUCUCUCUCCCUUUCUGUCUGUCUGUCUCCUAUCUCUGUAUCCCUUCUCUCCAUGCCUCAGUGCAUAGUCUCUGUUCCCCUCUGAACUCUGUCUGUUCUCUCUCAGUCUGUUUGCCCCCCCCUUUUCCUCUCUCUCCAUCCCUCUCUGUCUGUCUCCCUCUCUCUCAUUCUCUCUGUCUCUCUCUCAUUCUCUCUGUCUGUCUGUCUCUCUCUCUCCUUCUCUCUCAGUCUGUUUGCCCCCCCCCUCUCUCUUCCUCUCUCUCUAUGUCUGUCUAUCUCCCUUGCUCUCUGUCUGUCUCUUUCUCUCUCAUUCUCUCUGUUUGUCUCUCUCCCCCCCUCUAUCUCUGUCUCUCUCUCCCCCUCUAUCUCUGUCUGUCUGUCUGUCUGUCUGUCUGUCUGUCUGUCUGUCUGUCUGUCUGUCUCUCUCUCUCUCUCUGUCUCUCUCUCCCCCUCUAUCUCUGUCUGUCUGUCUGUCUGUCUCUCUCUCUCUGUCUCUCUCUCCCCCUCUCUCUCUGUCUGCCUCUCUCUCUCUCUCUCUGUCUCUCUCUCUCCCUCUCUCCCUCUUUCUCUCUGUCUGCCUAUCUCUCUCUGUCUCCAUCUCUAUUUUCCCAGUGGCACCUGCCCAUUCAUGUGGGCUCUUCUGUGCCAGUGAGAGUGAGUCAUUCAUGAGCUCCAUCCCCGCCGCUUAACAAGCAGCUCCCACAUUCCUGGUUCAGAAGGGAACCCAAAGAUCACCUCGCAUUUAGCCUACUCCCACUUCUUUAACUGUUGCCAUUCUCUCCGCCCAUGACUCAAUGCAUUAUGCGUUAACGUGAGAGAAAGGUGCGGGC
rnacentral:lncRNA from 1 species